GAUGAAGAACGUAGUGAUAUGCGAUACGUAAUGUGAAUUGCAGAAUUCAGUGAAUCAUCGAGUCUUUGAACGCACAUUGCGCCCCCUGGUAUUCCGGGGGGCAUGCCUGUCCGAGCGUCAUUGCUGCCCUCAAGCACGGCUUGUGUGUUGGGCCUCCGUCCUCCUCCCGGGGGACGGGCCCGAAAGGCAGCGGCGGCACCGCGUCCGGUCCUCGAGCGUAUGGGGCUUCGUCACCCGCUCUUGUAGGCCCGGCCGGCGCUUGCCGACACAUCAAUCUUUUUUCCAGGUUGACCUCGGAUCAGGUAGGGAUACCCGCUGAACUUAAGCAUAUCAAUAAGCGGAGGA
rnacentral:misc_RNA from 1 species